rnacentral:tRNA from 2 species
GGGUCGUUAGCUCAGCGGUAGAGCAGUUGGCUUUUAACCAAUUGGUCGAAGGUUCGAUUCCUUCACGGCCCACCA